UACAGAGGGGGGCGAGCGUUGUUCGGAAUUACUGGGCGUAAAGGGUGCGUAGGCGGGUCUUUAAGUCAGGGGUGAAAUCCUGGAGCUCAACUCCAGAACUGCCUUUGAUACUGAGGAUCUUGAGUUCGGGAGAGGUGAGUGGAACUGCGAGUGUAGAGGUGAAAUUCGUAGAUAUUCGCAAGAACACCAGUGGCGAAGGCGGCUCACUGGCCCGAUACUGACGCUGAGGCACGAAAGCGUGGGGAGCAAACAGG
rnacentral:rRNA from 1 species